UCUCCUCAAUGUAUUGAGAAUUGAAAGGGCACAUUGAGAGUUGUAGUAACAAAAUACUCUCUUUAAAUCAAUUACUUUAAUACUAUCAUUCAAAUUAACCCAUUCUUCAAACCAGAAAUCUCUCUUCCAUCUCUUUCGUGUCGCUAUGACUGUACACCACCGUUGUUAAUGAAUUGCAGGCAGGUUGAAAACAAGUUAGAUUUUAGCCUGUUCAUGAGAAGUUUAUAGCUACUACUACUGGAAACAUUCUCAAACUAAUUGAUGUUCAGACUGUUAAAGUUGUGUGCAAUCUAAAGAUCCUGGUGCUCUAAUAUAACUAGGAUGUAGAACAAUUUCUGGCACCCUUGGAGCUACUUGUGUAUACAGGGGGAUGUUUGAUGCAUUUUGCAGAACUUUUCAGAAUGAAGGCUUUAGAGGUUGCUACAAAGGACUCUUUCCAAAUCUACUCAAAGUUGUGCCAGCUUCUAGCAUUACUUACAGGGUCUAUGAAAUUAUGAAGAAAAAUCUCGAUUUGAGUAGUAUAUAGUUCUAUCCUUAUGGUACUUCCAAUUAGCUUUGAACGUAUACAUUGUAGGUAAAGUGUUCUUGAUCUUAGUAGACUGAACCGCGUGUUUGAGUUAUUAUUGUUAUUUUUUAUGUAAUUGAGCUAAUACAUAAUACUUAGUAAAUCUUGGAUUGUUGAUGACGGAGAUAAAAAUAUUUAUUAUUAGUAUUUAACGCAAUCAUUCAUUCCUUCUGUGACCUUGAAACAUGUUUCUGUAGUCAGAAACAUGGGAAACAGUUACUCAUGGUUAUAUGAACAAAAUGUUCAAGUAAUAGAGUUGUAGAAUUGUUUAAUUGUGUUGAUGGUAAG